UACGAAGGGUGCAAGCGUUAUUCGGAAUUACUGGGCGUAAAGCGUGCGUAGGUGGUUUGUUAAGUCUGAUGUGAAAGCCCUGGGCUCAACCUGGGAAUUGCAUUGGAUACUGGCAGGCUAGAGUGCGGUAGAGGAUGGCGGAAUUCCCGGUGUAGCGGUGAAAUGCGUAGAGAUCGGGAGGAACAUCUGUGGCGAAGGCGGCCAUCUGGACCAGCACUGACACUGAGGCACGAAAGCGUGGGGAGCAAACAGG
rnacentral:rRNA from 1 species